rnacentral:lncRNA from 1 species
GGCAGAGCCCGCCGCCGGGUCCUCCUUCCUGCUCGUGCCACCAGGCCCCGGGGCCGCGACGCGUCUCUCCAGCCCGGGAUCCGGGGAGCUGGGCUGUCCCCAGACCGACGGGACAGCGGCAUCUCCUCCACCUGAAAAGGAAAGAGGACCAGUUUGCAGGACUCCGAACUGGGCCCGCGAGAUCUCCACCUGCGCAAAACGAAAGGGCGGAUUCUCCUUGGACUCACGAGGCAACCGCUCCCCGGGGUGAGAACGGGGGACUCAUUCCUCCGGCACUGGGAGAAGACGAUUCUUUAGGAGGAGGACAGGGAAGCGAAUGCUACCCAGCAACCACUAGAAUGGAAGCUGCAUGUGGGCAUGGCUUAGUUUUGUCCACUGCUGGAUCUCAGCAUCCAAAACAGUCUACCACCUGAUGUCUCAGUAUACUGGCUCGCGGCACAUCGGGCAAAUGAACCUAUCAGAUAACAACGGCAGAUCAGAUGCCUGAGCAUUCAGAAGCAACAGCUGUGGAGCCCCCGUGGGUUCAGAAGGCCUGGUUCCCGUCUCCAGAAGCCUGGCUCUCCUCCCUCCUGGGCCCACUACUUUGGCUUCUUGUUCCUACGUACAAGGAGUUGCGAAGAAGGCAACUCUUCCCCUCCCUGAAGCCAAAGGAAUGAAACAGACUAGGGCGGGAGAGGUGGCCAUCCGUCAUUAGUUGCGGCCAUCAGUAACAGCAACAGGACACGGAACCUAAGGCUGUAUCCAUCCUGGGCCCCCAGGGAAACAUCAGCGGGAGCGGUACUAAGGAAGUGCUCAUCUCUUAGAGACAAAGGCCCAUGGAGGGGAACAGUAACCAUCCCCUCCCAAUUCAGAAAAUGUUAACAUAAGCACUUCAUUUCUCAUGCAGAUAACCACAUAAGUCUAUUAAUAAGAAAGAAAGAGAAAGAAAAAAAAGAAAAAGGAAUCCAUGCCAGCAGGGUAUAGGAAUUGGUCUAUAGGAGAAAGGGUCACCCACUGAAAGGUGGGCUGAAUAGAAUUCCUUGCCUGGGCUUUGAGGUCCUGGCAUGGAGAAGGCUGUAGAAAUGCUGGCAUCAGUGGAACCCUCAAUAAACAGAAUUCUUGUUAAAGAAUCACA